UACUUCCGGGGUAUGCAGCCUCGCAUAGUUCCAAAAAGCCAUUCUAUGGCGUCGGACAUCAUUCACUUCCAUUGCUGACUGUCGAGUAACUUCUGAGGCGGCUGCUGCUGGAGGCGAUGACUGCUUGAGCUGGCUGAUGUUGGCGAAGGAUGGUGAUGGCGGCUGCUGCUUGUGACGGCUGCUGAUAAUGUUGGCCACUGCUGGCGCUGGCAGCUGGUGGCGACUGCUGACUGCUGGAAUAAGAGGAGACUGGAGGCUGUGGAGACUGCGGGCGGUGUGCCGGGAAUGGAGUGGCCGAGUACAUCCAUGGCAACCAGUAAGGUGUUCGGCAGUGGCCUAGAUGGUAUGACCUUAGGUGAGGAGGUCUGCUGUGUGGAAAUCGCCUUCUUGGUCUGACUCUUGCUGCCAAGCUGUUCCACUACGUUGGAGGAUUCCAUAAGGGAAUCACUCGUCUGGGAACGGAAGAGGUGCUCCACGUGCUGCAGGAGAGUGAACAGCUCAUCGCAUGGCCGUGCACAUUGGCAUUCCUCACAGAGCGAGAAGCUGAUGACCCUCUUCGCUAUGUAUCCUGCCAGGUGGUAGAGGACACAAGACUCGGUCUUUGUGAGGUCAGGUGGGUCUACCAGCUGCUCCACUCUCACAACCUCAGAAGCACUGCAGUUGCUGUUCUUGUUGUCCAAGAAGUCCGCCAAGUGGUCUGAUGCAUCAUCCAGGUAACUGCCAGUAUGCGUUGUCGAGAGGAACUGCCCUACAGUGACAGCCCGUAGUGCAUAGUGGAACUCCACAGGUGUCGGGACUGAGUUCCUCUGACGUAUGCAAGAAAAAUUAUUUUUGUAGGCAGUCCAGAAUGAACUGGCUUGAAUGAACAUAUUUGUGCCCCUGUCUCAACAGAUCUUGCUGGACCAGCAGUAUCGUUGUUGUGGCCAUCACAGGUUUCAGUGGAGCGCCCCCCCCCCC